AUGCGACUGAGCUUCAGUGAUGUUGUUGCGCGCUCCGAUAAUCGUCAACCGUCUAACAGCGCAGCCUACCACAAGCGAGAAAAAGCCUUCGAUUUCUCAGUUCCUCCUCCAGAACCAAUUGGACCCAAAAAAUCCACAAAUCCAGCAUCACAAAUGUGGGGAAACUCGUUAUUCUCAAGUGUGCCGCCGUUUAGCAAUGUUGACAAAGUAUGGGAUCAGUCUAUUGUCCUGAAAAUGAUAGAAGAAGAGCGGAUCAAGAAAGAAACUCUCGCUCGCAAUGCUUUAAUAGACUCUUGGCCAAAGUCAAUCCCCUCGCUGUGGUCAGACGCUCCGUCAUCCUCUUUACACACCGGGAGCCCACUCAGCAAUGCGGUUUGGAGCAACUCGUCUCCGACACGGAGUUCAGUGUGGGGCAGCGAUGUUUGGGCGCCUCCUGCUGCCUCAACCCCGCCCCGCACACCCUUGCGGCCGCCCCCUGGACUAGCACCCACCACUCCAAGAGUGGCCCCUUCCUCCCCUCUCCAUGUCUAUCCAAAUUUGGCCUCGCGCCAGCGGAUAUUUGAUGAAGGAGACAUCCCUCUUCCACCAAGCUACACUGCCAAUCAAGAGAAAUCCCAGCCAAAGCUUUCACAGUCGCAAGAGUAUGACCCAUUCCGAUCUCUAAGCAGUAUCUGGUCAUCGCCCUCACCAUCUCCUUCUCCCUCAAUUUGGAGCUCUAAUCCUUCACAAAAAAAUUGA
rnacentral:lncRNA from 1 species